rnacentral:rRNA from 1 species
UGGGGAAUAUUGCACAAUGGGGGAAACCCUGAUGCAGCGACGCCGCGUGAGCGAUGAAGGCUUUCGAGUCGUAAAGCUCUGUCCUAUGGGAAGAUAAUGACGGUACCAUAGAAGAAAGCCCCGGCUAAUUACGUGCCAGCAGCCGCGGUAAUACGUAAGGGGCGAGCGUUAUCCGGAUUUACUGGGCGUAAAGGGUGCGUAGGUGGUCCUUCAAGUCGGUGGUUAAAGGCUACGGCUCAACCGUAGUAAGCCGCCGAAACUGGAGGACUUGAGUGCAGGAGAGGAAAGUGGAAUUCCCAGUGUAGCGGUGAAAUGCGUAGAUAUUGGGAGGAACACCAGUAGCGAAGGCGGCUUUCUGGACUGCAACUGACACUGAGGCACGAAAGCGUGGGUAGCAAACAGG